CCAUAAUCUUUCCAUUUUCUACUUUCUCUCCUAGGUAUCAACACUCACAUACCCCUGUUAAGUAUUUUAACCCCUCUGCUUAAAGUAUAAGCUCCUCGAGGGGAAGUCCCAGGUCUUAUGAAUACUCGAACCCCCUGGCAGUGCACUGCCUGUAGAUCUAAAGGACUCCGCGCACUUUAGGCUACUCGGGCUGAGUGGCAGAGAAGUUAAUGGGUGGUACCCAACCCCCAGGAGGGGUGGGCAGCAGCCACAACAAAAUCCACCCAGCAGAUCCAAAGACUUCGCACUGCUCUUGGAGUUCCCAUUGUGGCUCAUCGGUAACAAACCCAACUAGUAUCUACAAGGACAUGGGUUUGAUCCCUGGCCUUGCUCAGUGGGUUAAGGAUCCGGCGUUGCCAUGAGCUGUGGUGUAGGUCACAGACUCAGCUCGGAUCCCGAGUUGCUAUGGCUGUGGUAUAAGCUGGCAUCUACAGCUCAGUUCCACCCCUAGCCUGGGAACCUCCAUAUGCCCAGCGCCCAAAACAAAAGAGUUCCCCGGUGCCUUUCAUAGCUGCUCCCUUGAGCCAAAAUAACAGGCUUCCAGGUACCUAGUUCUAAAGCCUGGUAGGGCCUGUUUACAAAAUGAAGGGUCACCAUGUUGUGCCCUUUGCACGUAUUUUACCCACGUGACCACCUAAAAGGUGGCAGGCUUGUUUUUUUACAGGACAAGGAAAUGGGGGCUCAGAAAGGCUCAGUAACCUGUUCAAGGCCCACGGUUAGUAAAUUCUGGAGCUGAGGUUUUUAUCCAGGUGGCCUCCCUCUGAAACCUGCCUUCUUCCCCUCACUCCACCCGGUCCCUAGAAAACACCACGCUCCCUCACUCCCCCCGAGUGAGGAAUGGCUCCCCCCCACCCCAAUUCCUGGGCUAUAUCUCACGAUCUCCAGCAUCUCUUGGACUUUGCACUCACUGGUUCAACUUCCCGGUAAGUCUGCACUGGUAGAUACCCUCUGCUCUAAAUAGCACCCUCCGUGAUCUGCAAACAUUACAAGGACAUCAAAACAAAGCUAUCAGUUGGGUUCCCAGCUUGAGCAGCCAGUCCAAACUCUUUCUGUUUGAUUCUCAGACAGCUUAUUGACUAGGUGAUGGGGUCAGAAGUUUUCACCUAGCUUCUUCCAGAAUCAGGCACGCGGCCUGCAGAAGCAAAUUCAGGGCAGGUGGGAAAAGUCACCCCAUGUAAGAGUUCAGAUUUACAUAUUUUCAAUAAGCACAUACUGCUUACCGGCCAGCAACUUGUGGGAGUGGGAGAGGAUGAAGGGAGGAAAAGAUAGGAACUCAAGAGGCAUCAUUUCCCGUUUUGUACCAUCACGGGCACGGCGGCCCACUCAAUGAGCUGUUCUCAGAGGCCGCCUGUCCACACAAAGGGGGGGAGAAGCAGGGAGGGCAGGAAGCUGAUAAACGGUGUGAUAAAAGCAGCAACCGUGUUUUACCAGAUACCUGUUUUCUGCCAUCAGGUGCCUUCACACAUCUCCGCCCCGAUCUGAAAGAGGGUCCUGGCUCCCCAACCCCCUGCCCCGCCCCACCCCUCACCCUGACCCCAACAGUCUAUCUUUGCAUAUUGGAAAAACUGGCAUUUAUCAAGUCAUCUACUCCUCAUAGCUUGUUAAACAGACAGCAGGGGUUAUCAGCGGAGUUGAGAGAGGAAGAUAAACAGCAACCUCUUAUGCAAAUAGCACAGAGAAUGCGAGACUGGCCACAGGACAAAAUGGGAAUUGAGGAGAACCUGAAUCUUAACACUCUUCCCCCGUUCCAAUUCUGGAAAUCCGCAGGAACUUGGAGAAGAUUCCCCGGAUGGAGCUGCCUCUCCCUUUUUGCAGGGAGAAGCAGUCGUGUGGGUUGGUCCAACCGGCUUUGCCAAGAGUAGUGGCUCCGUAUGUGCCUAAUAGAACUCCCCUCUGUGACCACAAGCUUGUCCUCCCCGUGUUGG
rnacentral:lncRNA from 1 species